UGAUCCUCAGCUUGCUGGGGGGAUUAGUGGCGAACGGGUGAGUAACACGUGAGUAACCUGCCCUUGACUCUGGGAUAAGCCUGGGAAACCGGGUCUAAUACUGGAUAUGACCUUCCCACGCAUGUGGUGUUGGUGGAAAGCUUUUGUGGUUUUGGAUGGACUCGCGGCCUAUCAGCUUGUUGGUGGGGUAAUGGCUUACCAAGGCGACGACGGGUAGCCGGCCUGAGAGGGUGACCGGCCACACUGGGACUGAGACACGGCCCAGACUCCUACGGGAGGCAGCAGUGGGGAAUAUUGCACAAUGGGCGCAAGCCUGAUGCAGCGACGCCGCGUGAGGGAUGAAGGCCUUCGGGUUGUAAACCUCUUUCAGUAGGGAAGAAGCUGGUCCUUUUGGGGUUGGUGACGGUACCUGCAGAAGAAGCGCCGGCUAACUACGUGCCAGCAGCCGCGGUAAUACGUAGGGCGCAAGCGUUAUCCGGAAUUAUUGGGCGUAAAGAGCUCGUAGGCGGUUUGUCGCGUCUGCCGUGAAAGUCCGGGGCUUAACCCCGGAUCUGCGGUGGGUAC
rnacentral:rRNA from 1 species